rnacentral:rRNA from 1 species
GAUGAACGCUGGCGGCGUGCCUAAUACAUGCAAGUCGAGCGAACAGACGAGGGGCUUGCUCCUCUGACGUUAGCGGUGGACGGGUGAGUAACACGUGGAUAACCUACCUAUAAGACUGGGAUAACUUCGGGAAACCGGAGCUAAUACCGGAUAAUAUAUUGAACCGCAUGGUUCAAUAGUGAAAGACGGUUUUGCUGUCACUUAUAGAUGGAUCCGCGCCGCAUUAGCUAGUUGGUAAGGUAACGGCUUACCAAGGCAACGAUGCGUAGCCGACCUGAGAGGGUGAUCGGCCACACUGGAACUGAGACACGGUCCAGACUCCUACGGGAGGCAGCAGUAGGGAAUCUUCCGCAAUGGGCGAAAGCCUGACGGAGCAACGCCGCGUGAGUGAUGAAGGUCUUCGGAUCGUAAAACUCUGUUAUUAGGGAAGAACAAAUGUGUAAGUAACUAUGCACGUCUUGACGGUACCUAAUCAGAAAGCCACGGCUAACUACGUG